rnacentral:rRNA from 1 species
CGGUACGUACUGGCAUUGUUGGUUUCUCCCUUCUGACGAACCAUGAAGUCAUUUAUUUGGUGUUGUGGGGAAUCAGGACUGUUACUUUGAAAAAAUUAGAGUGUUUAAAGCAGGCUCACGCUUGAAUACAUUAGCAUGGAAUAAUGAAAUAGGACGUUUGAUUCUAUUUUGUUGGUUUCUAGGAUCGACGUAAUGAUUAAUAGGGAUAGUUGGGGGCAUUAGUAUUCAAUUGUCAGAGGUGAAAUUCUUGGAUUUAUUGAAGACUAACUACUGCGAAAGCAUUUGCCAAGGAUGUUUUCAUUAAUCAAGAACGAAAGUUAGGGGAUCGAAGACGAUCAGAUACCGUCGUAGUCUUAACCAUAAACUAUGCCGACUAGGGAUCGGAUGAUGUUAAUUUUUUAAUGACUCAUUCGGCGCCUUACG